GUGAAAUUCCGUCGGAAUCUGGGAGGACCAUCUCCUAAGGCUAAAUACUCUCUAGUGACCGAUAGUGAACCAGUACCGUGAGGGAAAGGUGAAAAGCACCCCGGAAGGGGAGUGAAAUAGAACCUGAAACCGUGUGCUUACAAGUAGUCAGAGCCCGUUAAUGGGUGAUGGCGUGCCUUUUGUAGAAUGAACCGGCGAGUUACGAUUUGAUGCAAGGUUAAGCAGUAAAUGUGGAGCCGUAGCGAAAGCGAGUCUGAAUAGGGCGUUUAGUAUUUGGUCGUAGACCCGAAACCAGGUGAUCUACCCUUGGUCAGGUUGAAGUUCAGGUAACACUGAAUGGAGGACCGAACCGACUUACGUUGAAAAGUGAGCGGAUGAACUGAGGGUAGCGGAGAAAUUCCAAUCGAACCUGGAGAUAGCUGGUUCUCUCCGAAAUAGCUUUAGGGCUAGCCUCAAGUGAUGAUUAUUGGAGGUAGAGCACUGUUUGGACGAGGGGCCCCUCUCGGGUUGCCGAAUUCAGACAAACUCCGAAUGCCAAUUAAUUUAACUUGGGAGUCAGAACAUGGGUGAUAAGGUCCGUGUUC
rnacentral:rRNA from 1 species